CCUAGUAACGGCGAGUGAACCGGGAAGAGCUCAAAUUUGAAAUCUGGCGUCCUCAGGGCGUCCGAGUUGUAAUCUAUAGAGGCGUUUUCCGUGCCGGACCGUGUCCAAGUCCCUUGGAACAGGGUAUCAAAGAGGGUGACAAUCCCGUACUUGACACGACUACCGGUGCUCUGUGAUACGUCUUCUACGAGUCGAGUUGUUUGGGAAUGCAGCUCAAAAUGGGUGGUGAGUUCCAUCUAAAGCUAAAUAUUGGCGAGAGACCGAUAGCGAACAAGUACCGUGAGGGAAAGAUGAAAAGCACUUUGGAAAGAGAGUUAAACAGUACGUGAAAUUGUUGAAAGGGAAACGAUUGAAGUCAGUCGUGACCGAGAGGCUCAGCCGGCUCUGCCGGUGUAUUCCCCUCGGUCGGGUCAACAUCAGUUUUGUCCGGUGGAUAAGGGCGGCAGGAAUGUGGCACCCUCGGGUGUGUUAUAGCCUGCUGUCGCAUACACCGGGUGAGACUGAGGAACGCAGCUCGCCUUUAUGGCCGGGGCCCGCCCACGUACGAGCUUAGGAUGUUGACGUAAUGGCUUUAAACGACCCGUCUUGA
rnacentral:rRNA from 1 species